ACAUGCUUACAACAUAGUUUUAAUGCACCAGAUCCCAUUAGAACUUCGCAGUUAAGCACACUCAAGCUAUAGUAGUAUUGGGAUGGGUGACCACUUAGGAAUUCCUAGUAUUUUACAUGCC
rnacentral:rRNA from 1 species